GGGGACCAAAGACCGAGCCCUGAGGAACACCACACAAAACCGUGCAGGAGCUGAAGAAGAAACAUUUGUGGAUACAAAGUGGAGACAGUCACAAAGGGCCCAAGAGCUGAGGGUGGGAGCUGAAGGGCUGGAGGAGGCACAAUUUGAGCAGCAAAGGUGAUGUAACAUUGGGUUGUCGCAAGCAAGCGAAAUUUGAACUAUUGUC